GUUCUCUCCUUUCCUAAAUCUCCCAGGGAUUUGCCCGUAGGUCAAUCUUGAUUCAACAAACUCAAACUGAUCUCUGUGAUUAGCAAAGUACGAGGGCUUUGGCAAUCCGGUGAAUGUUGAAUUGGAUUCAAGUAAAACAAACUCCGUUACAUAAGGGAACAACUCUUUCCACCGUAUGGUCAGCAUUUCCACCUCAUUACUGAAUAACACUGCAUCAAAGACGCGCCUAGGAUACUCCCGAAUUCCCCAUCCAUGAAGUUUACAGAGGUUCUCCAUCGACACAUUCUCAUGAUAAUAGUGUGGCAUCUCAUGGAAAGGCUUUGGGGGCUUUUCCCAUAAUGGUCGUAGAAAAUAAGUGAUUUUCUGUCCAUGUAAAUAUAUACCAAACACACAUGUUGGAACAAACAAAAAAAGGAAGAUAUAUGUUUUCAAGUCCAAGCCACGCAGUGCACACUUUAGUCUCGACAUGCUCAAUGCUCGACCUGCUCCCUCAUUACAAAUAUCAUCCUUCUUCUUUGAACAAUACCCAGAUCCCCCUUCUUCAAAAAUAUAAACUUUCUCCAAAAAUCUAGUGACACCCCACAUCUUUCUCCUCCUUUAACUAUAUUUCUAUGGUUCUAUUGAUCGCCAGUAAUACAGAUCAAUAGGUAACCCACAAAUUCAGACACAGAAAAAAAUGGACAGAUCUAUAGAUAAACCACCAAAAAAAAAAUUGUGACCCAGAAAAAAUUGGUUGAUGCAGAAUAAUAGUCACAAAAAAAU
rnacentral:misc_RNA from 1 species